GGAGGGAAGAUCUGGGAUGCCUUCCCCAGCACCCAGCAUAUCAUGCUUUUUAAAUAGAGCUCAAAAAUAAGCAAAAUGAAACACCAUGUUAUUAUUUCAUAUAUAUUUUGAUAUAAGCAUAUAUAUUUAAAAGCAGUAGAACGAUAUACAACAUUUAGGGCUGUGCUUACCUUUGGAGAAUGGACUAGGGAUUGGACAACUGAAUUUAAAGGCAAGUUAAAGUUCAAUAUUUUGAACAAUGUUUAAAUCAAGAUGAGCGAGAAGACAGAACUGUUAAAAGGUUUUAUUUUACAGCCAAGUGAAGGAUUCAGCUAUGUCCCAAAGGAUUAAACAAGAUGGUAUGCUUAAUAAUUCCUCGCUUCUAUGAAACUCCCUGAUUAUGAAGUGUACUUUCAUUCUAUAGAACUACUCCUGAUUUCAUCAGGAAACUCUGAUCUGAAACUCAAUUUACAGAAAUAUUAAAAAUGAAUUUUCGACUAAA
ensembl:lncRNA novel transcript